CAUCCAUACAUUGAAAUGCCUCCCAUCUGUUUCCGUUAAUUUUUGUUGACGUGGAAGCAUUACACUUGACAAAGCUGAACAGAAUCGAAGAAUGACAGCAUUAGUUGUUGUUGGUGGUCAGGUGUGCCUGUUAUGACACCAAACAUCAAGUGGUAUCUGUGAUGGCUGUUGAAGAUAUUAUAUCUUGGGUAACCACUGUAUGUACUAUUGGAGUUUCACUAAUAGGAUUUGAAAUCUGUGCCAAAAUUGCACGUAAAGGAAGUCCAGGUGACAUUUCUUUCAUUCCGUUCCUUAUCAUGUUUAUCAGUGCCUGUUUGUGGCUGAAGUAUGGACUUCUCCGAAGAGUAUUUACCGUUGUAUUUGUCAACUCAGUUGCAGCCUUAUUACAAGGCAUGUACAUGUGUAUUUAUUAUACAUACAGCCUUCAGCGGGGACAUCUAAAUCGAAUGUUAUUUUUUGGUAUAGUGUUCCUGCUCUUACCUUUAAGCUACAUUAGAUUCUACCUACCUGAUGAAUCCAGUGCUAUUGACUUUCUUGGACGCUUAUGUUGUAUUAUUAGUAUUUUCUCUUAUGGUUCACCUCUUGCUUCUGUGUUUCACGUGGUUAGAACCAAAAGCACUGAAUGUAUGUCUUUUCCAUUAGCUACGGCCAAUUUUGUGGUUGCUCUUGAAUGGUUUCUCUAUGGAGCUUUGUUAAAAGACUUUUAUAUGCAGAUGCCCAAUAUGUGUGGUGUUUUGCUAUGCCUUUUCCAGUUUGCAUUAUUUUUCAAAUACCCAGCAAAACCACAGCCAAUACUUUCUAUCAAAGCUUAAAUGCAACAUAAUGAAUGAAAUUUGAUUGUGACCAAAAUACUCUAUUCCAAAGUCCAAAAAAUGCAUUAUUAUAUAUAUUGUAAAUCUCAAACAAAUGUUCAACUCAUAAACUGACCAUUAACUUAAAAACCAAAGCCAAGAUGAAUUUCAUCAUUCUCUUCUGUAUAUAUAUCCAAUGGUACUACUAAUAUUUUUGCUGUUAAUAUAAUUGACAGUCUGAAUCAGAGUUUGAUCAUCAGAAAAGCAUUUGUUUAUUCAACUGUUGACCAACAUGAAAACUACCAAAGCUUGAAUGAAUUUUAUCAAAGUGUAGUAUUUGGGACCAGUAACUUUUUGAGUCAGUUGCUUUUAUGACCAGUUCUUCAUUUUGACACAUUAUAUGCCAAAAUAUCUACAGUUUUGUAAUUCAUUUCAUCUUACAACAUAGGAUUUUUAUUUUGUUUUUUACAUUGUAACCAUCCUUAAAAAUAUCUAUGAGAACCAGUUACUCACCUGAGGAAACUGGCUUUCACUGUUUGUAUUCAUUGAUAACAAUAAUUGUUUCAGUUUAUGGCUUUUAUUAAUCAUCCAUGUUAUUAUUGACACAAAGGUAGUGAAGAUGAUAAAGGCAAUCCCAAAUUGAAUUCUUCUGUGUAAUUAGGGCAGUUCCACACUGUUUUAAGUUUACAGUAUAGUGGUGGUGUGGGAGAGGGGUACAGUUUUGUCUUUCAAUCCAUCUGAAUAUCAGUCACAGACUAAGAUGGAUUCUAUGUAUCCAGAGAAAUUAAUUUCGUCUUCAGUCAAAAGAAGUUGCUAUUGUCAUUUGAUUCUCUUCACUACAGUUAGAAGGGGGAAUAAUUGUAAAUGGAAAAUGCUCAAAUCAGAGAAUUGCUCUACAAAGUCUUAUUUUUAAAUCUCUUAAAAAUAAGUUUUCCUCAUCAAACCUUUUGAGAAAAUUCUUUGAAUCUACUCAUACAAACUCCAGCCAAUAAUAAGUUUUAUAUUGGAAUAUAUUGCUUAUAUAAAACUUUAUCAAGUUUUAAAAGAAAAUUUAAUUUAAUUCUGUCAUGAAGUGCCUUGAUUAAUUUCUAAUGCUCUUAUGGAAUAUGAAAAAAUGGUUUUAUCAAAACAAGAAUUUUAUAUUGUUUCUCAAACAUUUCAGUAUUUGAAAUUGCUUGCUUUACAUAAAUUUGCAAUGUUUCAAAUACCAUCUAGAAGCUAUCUAAUCAAUGACUUACAAACUUUGUUAUACUGUGAUCAUUUCACUUCCUUCGAACUCAAACUAAUAAUACUGAAGUAUGUUUUGUUAAUAUACUCCAUCAGUGUAUUACAAAAAUCUAGUCAUGUUUUACAAUUCAUUAUCAUGAGCCAAUUCAAUACACACAUGCAUUUUCUCUUCUCCCAUUAUAUUAUGAUAAAGCACUCUCCACUGCUGAGUUUGACUUGAUAUACUAUCAAAUAUGGCUUGUGGUCUAGUAGUUAGGUUCCUGCACUCAUGAUCUUGUGGUACUGGUUUCAAUUCCUGUACUGAGUGGUGCAUUGUGUUUUUGAGCAAAACACUUCAUUUCAUGUUGCUCUGCAAUCAUUUCAACUUCUGACAUGUGGCACAUUAUGCACCUGUACAGGUAAUGUUGAUUUGAUAGAGUAAGCUACUAGCAGUACAAAUAUUUGAUCCCUAUAAACAAAUCAUCUAUGCAGGUUAUUCAGCAAGAAAUUGUGGAAUCCUCUUUCUCAAACUUGAGAGACUACCAACAACUGUGUGUGUGUGUGUGUGUAGAGAGAGAGAGGAUAAAAUUAACUUAUGGAUGUUAUUUAUUUAAAGACAUUCAAAUUCAUACAGAGAAAUAUAUAUAUAUACUGUCUUUGGUCUGAACUAUACAUAUGUAUUAUUUUAUAUUGCAGUUAUCUCACAGUUCCUUGGAGCUAUGGUCAUUAAAUAUAUCCAGUCAGAUUUGAUGAACAUAGCUCCAGGAUAUGAAAUAGAAUUAACUAAUUUUAUAUUACAGUUUUAUGGACUUAACUAAACAACAUUGCUACUGCCUUUUCAGAGCUAGUCAUUGGAUCUAUCUUGUCAAAUGAGAAAUUUCUUGUAGCUUCAAGUAAACCCAUCUGGUGACCCAAGCUUGAGGAAACUGGCAAUUUUGUUCUUCUGUUAAGUGUUUAUAGUUGUAAUAUAAGAUCAACUUUGUUUCAUAUAUCAUA